ensembl:snRNA U6 U6 spliceosomal RNA
GCGCUCAUGGACAGCGCUUACACUAAAACUGGAAUGACAUACAGAUUAGAAUUGCCCCUGCACAAGGGUGACAUGCAAAUUCAUGAAGCAUUCCAUAUUAAG